CUAUCAAACCAUAUAUAUUAGAUAAUUUUUUUAAAAUUUAUUUGGCAUUGAUGUACUAAAAAAGCAAUUGCCGGAAUAAUACCAAGAAGAGGAAUAUGCGCUUUGAUUUUUUUUAAUUAAUAAUUCAAUAUAAGAUUAAGGAGAAUUAGUAAUAACAUUCAAAUAUCUUGUAGAAAAUAUGAGGUUUUUGAAUUUAAACAUUAAAAUUGAACUAAUUAGUACUUAUGAUUUAAUCCCGUGAUAAGUGUAUCUGAUGACCGUUGGAUUUUUUACCCCGGUCUAAGGGCAGGCCCAUGAAUACAGUUGAAAGCUUCUAAGUCUAAUCCAAGCGUCAGGCCCGACCCGCUCAGCUGAAGGACCGAAAUUCACCAAAAUUUCUCUAUCCGGUCUGCCCAACCUUCCGGCCCAAUAACUAGGCCCCCACUAGGCUCAGCCUUAACCCCAUCUUCCAGCCCGGUCCGGAAGAGGGAAAGUGGCCAGCCCGUCCGACUGGUAGGUCCACCCGCAAGCGUACCAUGUGAGAAUUAAAUGGCUGUUACGCAUAUAGCAGGAAUCUGAUCUUCUUGUAUGCCCAUAUCCGUAUGGCAGAGACACGUGACCCAAUGACGGGAAUUUCGUUAUACAUCACUAGCAGACAAAAGAAAAGGAAUAAAAGGAUAAACACUCUCCUCACAAAAGGAGGUUUUUGACUAAGUUUACAGAACACUUGUAAAACCUUAUUUUUCUGGAUCUCAGAUUAUAUAUCUAAAUAAAUACAAGAGAUUUCAGAUUCUAUUUCUCUAAUUUUUAAUUUUUAUUUAAAAAAAAUUAAAUUAAUUAAUAAUCAAUAAAAAAUUCCUAUUCACAUUAGUAAAAAAAAUUAUUUAACUAUAUUUUCCCCAUAAAUUUUCUUUCCUUAAUUAAUAAAUUAUUUUUAUCUAUAUGUAAAAAUAUUAAUAGAAAAUUGAUUUCUCAUAUGAAUAAAGAUCAUUACCUAUUAUAAUUAACGUAAAAUUAAUGUUAAAAUUUAAUAGAAAACUGAAAUUUAAUCAUCAUUUUAUUAUCUUUUUUACAUUUUGCAUAGUCAGUAUCCUUUUCUUUUCUUCUUUAUAUGUUAGAACACACUAUUUUAGUUGACAUAAUUUUGAUAUAAAUAAAAUAGGAAAUACAAAUUUAAUUAAUCGAUAUUUAUAAUUAUAUUAACUUGGUUAUAAUAAUAUGGAUAAUAUAGUAUAAAAUUAUAAUUUUUAUAUAUAAAAAAAAUAAAUAAGAGAGGAGGGGUGGGGUUGGGUUGGGCCAACCAAUUCUGACCUGACGUUAACAUUGAUUAGAUAAUUGAUGGAGACCUAGAAAUUAUGCUCUUAUUUGUCAUUGUUUAAUUUGUGGCCAACAAGGUAUAAUGGUGCUUUUAGUGGAGUUAUGAAAUGACAAUGUAAUUUACAUUAUUUUUAGAUACUUUUUUUUAGAAGGAGAAAAGUUCAAUAGUGAUAUAAUUAUAGAAGAUAACAUUUAUAAAUUUAAUUUAAGUGUAUUUAAAUAAAUUUUAACGUUUUUAGAUUUUAUUUUCAUAAUUUUUAAUUUUUAUUUUAAAAAAAAAUUAUAAAAGAUAUAACAAUAAUGUUCAAAAACAUAUAUUUUAUCAAAUUCAAAUCUCACUGUAUAAAUUUUUGAGGGAAAAAUAAAACUAUAUCAUAACUAGCAGUAUAAAUAUUCAUUAUUUACAUAUCAUUGGUAGUUCUUACCUUUUUCUGAUUUCCUUGUCUUGUUUGUCUCUGAAUAAAGAGAUUGUUAUGAAGACUGUAUAUCCUCUGGGAAACCAAACCAAAGCAAAGCAUUCUAACGAGAUCCUGACAUGCAAGCUUGUGUCUCUAAUCUCUUGUAUUUAUAUUUACAAACAUGCAGGAAGUGUAGGGUGAGCUGGAGGGAGAAAGAAAUAAAGAAAUAUAGUAUUAC
rnacentral:lncRNA from 1 species